AACGCGAAUGGCACUGUUACGUAAGUAGCAGUAUGUCUGUUUGAGAAUCGCAAAACAAGAUCAACUCUAGUUGAGAGUUGGGAGUGGCCUUAUAUGCUGCCUGUAGGUGGUGUAUUUGGCUUGAAUUGAUCGAGUUGAUGAGCUUCCCAGCGCGGCUCAAUGUGUGCUAGCGAGACAGUCGUCCCGAUCUCACAUUAUCGCUGCGUUGCAGAGUUCUGACCACAGCUCGUUAAACUAUCAUUAUAAUCAAUUACGAUCUCAAAUCAGGCAAGAUUACCCGCUGAACUUAA
rnacentral:misc_RNA from 1 species